rnacentral:rRNA from 1 species
AAUAGAUACCCAGGUAGUCCAUGCCGUAAACGUUGGGAACUAGAUGUGGGGACCAUUCCACGGUCUCCGUGUCGCAGCUAACGUAUUAAGUUCCCCGCCUGGGGAGUACGGCCGCAAGGCUAAAACUCAAAGGAAUUGACGGGGGCCCGCACAAGCGGCGGAGCAUGCGGAUUAAUUCGAUGCAACGCGAAGAACCUUACCAAGGCUUGACAUACACGAGAACGCUGCAGAAAUGCAGAACUCUUUGGACACUCGUGAACAGGUGGUGCAUGGUUGUCGUCAGCUCGUGUCGUGAGAUGUUGGGUUAAGUCCCGCAACGAGCGCAACCCUCGUCUUAUGUUGCCAGCACGUAAUGGUGGGGACUCAUAAGAGACUGCCGGGGUCAACUCGGAGGAAGGUGGGGAUGAGGUCAAAUCAUCAUGCCCCUUAUGUCUUGGGCUUCACGCAUGCUACAAUGGCCGGUACAAAGGGCAGCAAUACCGCGAGGUGGAGCAAAUCCCAAAAAGCCGGUCUCAGUUCGGAUUG